GCAAUGAUGGUUCAGUGGUAGAAUUCUCACCUUACAUGCGACAGACCUGGUUUCCAUUCUCAGUCAAUACA
rnacentral:tRNA from 1 species